rnacentral:lncRNA from 1 species
GAAGGCUCCCGGGAUCUUGAUGGAAAAAGAAAGGGUUUGGUGUCUUCAGCACUCACAGAUCCAAAACUACUUGGCAAGAGUUGUCAAAUGCUGUCUUUUAUUCAUAAAACUCUGCUUAUCUCUGGAAGAGCAUGCAAGGGGCUCACAUAUCCCUGACAGCACAGAAAAGAGGUGGUGUGAAAGUCUAAAGGACUUGGAACAGGUGUCCUACUCCCAUUUGUCUGAGUCACCAGUGGCCGUG